GCCCUGGUGGCACAAUGGUUAAGUGUUCAGCUGCUAACCCAAAGGGUGGUGGUUCAAACCCACCCAGUGGCU
rnacentral:tRNA from 1 species